rnacentral:rRNA from 1 species
AACGAACACUGGCGGCAGGCCUAACACAUGCAAGUCGAACGGAUGUAGCAAUACAUUAGUGGCGCACGGGAGAGUAACACGUGGGAAUCUACCUUUUGGUUCGGAAUAACGUCGGGAAACUGACGCUAAUACCGGAUAAGUCCUACGGGGGAAAGUUUUUCGCCAAAAGAUGAGCCCGCGCUAGAUUAGCUUGUUGGUGAGGUAAUGGCUCACCAAGGCUACGAUCUAUAGCUGGUCUGAGAGGAUGACCAGCCUCACUGGGACUGAGACACGGCCCAGACUCCUACGGGAGGCAGCAGUGGGGAAUAUUGGACAAUGGGGGAAACCCUGAUCCAGCCAUGCCGCGUGAAUGAUGAAGGCCUUCGGGUUGUAAAGUUCUUUUGGUAGGGACGAUGAUGACGGUACCUACAGAAUAAGCUCCGGCUAACUUCGUGCCAGCAGCCGCCGUAA